rnacentral:tRNA from 1 species
GCCUGGCUGGCUCAGUUGGUAGAGCAUGUGACUCUUGAUCUAGGGUUUGUAAGUUCAAGCCCCAUGUUGGGCA